rnacentral:rRNA from 1 species
AACGAACGCUGGCGGCAUGCCUAACACAUGCAAGUCGAACGAGACCUUCGGGUCUAGUGGCGCACGGGUGCGUAACGCGUGGGAAUCUGCCCUUGGGUUCGGAAUAACUUCGGGAAACUGAAGCUAAUACCGGAUGAUGACGUAAGUCCAAAGAUUUAUCGCCCAAGGAUGAGCCCGCGUAGGAUUAGCUAGUUGGUGAGGUAAAGGCUCACCAAGGCGACGAUCCUUAGCUGGUCUGAGAGGAUGAUCAGCCACACUGGGACUGAGACACGGCCCAGACUCCUACGGGAGGCAGCAGUGGGAAUAUUGGACAAUGGGCGAAAGCCUGAUCCAGCAAUGCCGCGUGAGUGAUGAAGGCCUUAGGGUUGUAAAGCUCUUUUGCCCGAGACGAUAAUGACAGUAUCGGGAGAAUAAGCUCCGGCUAACUCCGUGCCAGCAGCCGCGGUAAUGUGACUGU